AUUCCAAAAUAUACUCUAAAAACUCUAUUACAGCAAAGUUUUUCAAAAACACUCCAAAAAUUUAUUCUACAUGUACAAGGUCAAGUAUCUUUGUGGCAUACAGCAAGCAGUACACACCCAGUCAGGGCAAAUUAGUAGCCACGCCAAAUUGAAUCACAUGCUGCUGGUAUGCAUUGGUAGGAGGAGGCGGCGGCGGCGGAGGUGCAGCCACUGCAACACGACCUGCAAAGUUCUUCUCACUAAUGGUGCUAGCGGUGCAUGGCGUACCACCAUUUUUGCCGAUGAAACUGCACCCACUUGGCGCCGGAGGUUUAACCGCUUUCUGGGACUGCAGAGAUUGUAGAAAAUGAUGCAGCUUUCUAAUCAUAAUGC
rnacentral:lncRNA from 1 species